rnacentral:rRNA from 1 species
UACGGAGGGAGCUAGCGUUGUUCGGAAUUACUGGGCGUAAAGCGCACGUAGGCGGCUUUGUAAGUUAGAGGUGAAAGCCUGGGGCUCAACCCCCAGAAUUGCCUUUAAGACUGCAUCGCUUGAAUCCGGGAGAGGUGAGUGGAAUUCCGAGUGUAGAGGUGAAAUUCGUAGAUAUUCGGAAGAACACCAGUGGCGAAGGCGGCUCACUGGACCGGUAUUGACGCUGAGGUGCGAAAGCGUGGGGGAGCAAACAGG